rnacentral:rRNA from 1 species
GAUGAACGCUAGCGGCAGGCCUAACACAUGCAAGUCGAGGGGUAACAGGAGAGCUUGCUCUUGCUGACGACCGGCGCACGGGUGCGUAACGCGUAUACAAUUUACCUUAUACUAAGGGAUAGCCCGAAGAAAUUUGGAUUAAUACCUUAUGGUAUUUAUGGAUCGCAUGAUUUAUAAAUUAAAGAUUACGGUAUAAGAUGAGUAUGCGUCCUAUUAGUUAGUAGGUGAGGUAACGGCUCACCUAGACGAUGAUAGGUAGGGGUCCUGAGAGGGAGGUCCCCCACACUGGUACUGAGACACGGACCAGACUCCUACGGGAGGCAGCAGUGAGGAAUAUUGGACAAUGGAAGGAAUUCUGAUCCAGCCAUGCCGCGUGCAGGAAGACUGCCCUAUGGGUUGUAAACUGCUUUUAUACAGGAAGAAAAAAGUGUACGUGUACACUAUUGACGGUACUGUACGAAUAAGGAUCGGCUAACUCCGUGCCAGCAGCCGCGGUAAUACGGAGGAUCCAAGCGUUAUCCGGAAUCAUUGGGUUUAAAGGGUCCGUAGGCGGGAGAUUAAGUCAGUGGUGAAAGUUUGUGGCUCAACCAUAAAAUUGCCAUUGAUACUGGUUUUCUUGAGUUAUUGUGAAGUGGUUAGAAUGAGUAGUGUAGCGGUGAAAUGCAUAGAUAUUACUCAGAAUACCGAUUGCGAAGGCAGAUCGCUAACAAUACACUGACGCUGAUGGACGAAAGCGUAGGUAGCGAACAGGAUUAGAUACCCUGGUAGUCUACGCCGUAAACGAUGGUUACUAGCUGUUCGGGCAAAUUGAUGUCUGAGUGGCUAAGCGAAAGUGAUAAGUAACCCACCUGGGGAGUACGUUCGCAAGAAUGAAACUCAAAGGAAUUGACGGGGGCCCGCACAAGCGGUGGAGCAUGUGGUUUAAUUCGAUGAUACGCGAGGAACCUUACCAGGGCUUAAAUGCAGUUUGACAGGACUAGAGAUAGUUUUUUCUUCGGAC